rnacentral:lncRNA from 1 species
AGUUCGUCCAUACAUCGUUGUUCUUGAAACAAUCAUUAUUAGUAUACAUGUAAGUUUCCUGACGUAUAUAUAAGCGCCAUUGAGGAUGAGCUCUAGAGAAAGCAGACUAGUAGCGUUUCGUUAGUUUGUUUGUUGGGAAAGGAGAGGAAAUGCAACCACUUGUACAGAUAAUCGACAGAAUUAACAUACAAGCAUUUAUAGUCAACACAAC